rnacentral:rRNA from 1 species
GGACUACCCGGGUAUCUAAUCCUGUUUGCUACCCACGCUUUCGUGUCUCAGCGUCAGUUAUGGUCCAGUAAGCCGUCUACACCACCGGUGUUCCUCCUGAUAUCUACGCAUUUCACCGCUACACCAGGAAUUCCACUUACCCAUCCCACACUCUAGUCAUCCAGUUUUCGGCGCACCCUCCCGGUUAAGCCGGGAGAUUUCACACCAAACUUAGACAACCGCCUACACACCCUUUACGCCCAGUAACUCCGAACAACGCUUGCUGCCUACGUAUUACCGCGGCUGCUGGCAC